GGUGUUGAUUGUCCAAACGCAAUUCUUGUGGUCCGUCUAGAUCCAGGAGUUGUGGAUGGACAUCAUGCCCC
rnacentral:pre_miRNA from 1 species